ensembl:lncRNA
CUGGAACUGAAGCCCAGCUUUCCUCUAAACCCAAGGCUCUUUCCAUUCCGUCUCAGUCACCUCACUCUUAACAGAUCUUACUCUCAGAGACUCCACUUGAGGGUGCCUCAGCUAACCACAGUCCUCUUACCUGCGUUCUUAGUGUUAUAGCACUUUUAUUUUCAUUCAUUAUGCUUCUUUUGAUAAUUUAACCUCAUCGAAAUUAAAGAAACAUGAUCCUCAAAUACAAAGAAUUUCCACUGAAGAGCAAUACAAUAUCCAAAUUAUGCAGUCUGUCAUAUGACAUCAUCAUUCAUUCAUGAUUUUCAACUAGACAGUUAUUGAGCAUCUGCUAUACGCCAGGAACAGUAGUCAAGCAUGCUCCAUCACCAGACAGAUCAGAAGAGGAUCAGAGAAAUAGAAAAAUAAGAACAUAGAGUGGCCCCAAAAACCUGAACCAAAGAAGGUAGAGAAAAGUCUUCCUCGCCAACAGUUCCAAGUAGAGGAAUAGCCCUUGCAAAAGUGUGAGGGUGUGAGGGAGCGGCACGACACCUCCAAAGCACAAUGAGAGAUGGAGUGCGGCUGAAGCAAGGGAGAGUGUGGGUGUGGCAAGAAAUGAAGCCGUGUUGCUGUGACGGUCAAUCAUGAAGGCGCUGAGGACUGUCACAAAUGUACCUUAAUCAAAUAAUAGGUAGGAUAUUAUAUUGAUUGCAUAAAGAAAAAUAUGAGUACAGGACAAAGUGAUGCUGCAAUAAAGUGAAUGGUGUAUUUUGUGGCUUCGAGGAACCAGGUUAAGAAGCAACAGUUAGAACUGGACAUGGAACAACGGACUGGUUCCAAAUCAGGAAAGGAGUACAUCAAGGCUGUAAAUUGUCACCCUGCUUAUUUAACUUACAUACAGAGUACAUCAUGCGAAAUGCCAGGCUGGAUGAAGCACAAGCUGUG